rnacentral:rRNA from 1 species
GGUGAACGCUGGCGGCGUGCCUAAUACAUGCUAGUCGAGCGAUUGGAUUAAGAGCUUGCUCUUAUGAAGUUAGCGGCGGACGGGUGAGUAACACGUGGGUAACCUGCCCAUAAGACUGGGAUAACUCCGGGAAACCGGGGCUAAUACCGGAUAACAUUUUGAACCGCAUGGUUCGAAAUUGAAAGGCGGCUUCGGCUGUCACUUAUGGAUGGACCCGCGUCGCAUUAGCUAGUUGGUGAGGUAACGGCUCACCAAGGCAACGAUGCGUAGCCGACCUGAGAGGGUGAUCGGCCACACUGGGACUGAGACACGGCCCAGACUCCUACGGGAGGCAGCAGUAGGGAAUCUUCCGCAAUGGACGGAAGUCUGACGGAGCAACGCCGCGUGAGUGAUGAAGGCUUUCGGGUCGUAAAACUCUGUUGUUAGGGAAGAACAAGUGCUAGUUGAAUAGGCUGGCACCUUGACGGUACCUAACCAGAAAGCCACGGCUAACUACGUGCCAGCCGCCGCAGUAA